rnacentral:lncRNA from 1 species
UCCAGGAGGACCCAUGCGUUUCGAUCAGGGGCUGGCUUGGUUUUUGCACCCUGCGUGCUGCUGGGACCAAGGGAAUCACGACUGCACUGCCCAAGGCGUUAGCAUCCAUGUAUCACAAAGGGGGAAUGAAGGUUUCCCUAGCACCUCCUUUAUCCAGAGACGUUCGGUUCCUCCUCCUUGCUACUGCACAGGGAGCUGUGGCUCCGGUUCGGGGACGGGAAGUGGAUGCUUUGCACCACCUCAUGUUGAACGUUGGAAUUUCACAGCCUCAUCCAAAUUUCUGCUCUCUCCCAUGCUGAGCAAACCGCAGGCCUCACCGGCUUGCCCCAGAACAGGCUCUUCUGGCUCCACAUCCACUUGCCCAACGCCUCUUCAGGAACUGGUGACGGUGUUGGGUGCUUCUUUAAGGCUUCAUUGUUCAGCAUCCUCCUGCAGAAGCACCCGCAGCAGGGCUGAGCUGUCCCCGCAGCACGCGAAACGCUGCUGGAGAGCACGGCGAACCGGUGAGCAGCCCCAUCCUUCUGCCUCUCCUGCGAGCCCAGGAGGGGAAGCUCUCACCUGGAGAGAGUUUGGAGUCAUGGUUUGAUAGGCAAGGAACGUCUCACUGGGUUUUAAGCCAUCUUCUGAGCAUCUCCAAUUUUUGAGGGGUGCGUUUGUGUCCUCACACCGCCCCAUGGAGCUCUGCGGAGAGUCCUCCUCUCUCCUGUCCAGGAAGGGCUCUGCAGGAGGAAGGUGAGGUGUUGCAGGGGAGACCCCAGGCUGUUCUCCCAGCAAGAGGGCUGGACUCGUCCCCAGGUCUGCUUCCUUCUCCUCCUCCCCCGAUUCAGCCACCCUCCCUCGCUCCCCAAAGGAUGGGACAAGGCACGUCAGACACCCGUCCGCUGGGAGCCAGCACGGGAGGAGACGUGCAGCUGGAGCUGGAAACCCUGCAACAACACCUGCAAGCGCUGCUCCUCGUUUCUGAAGCUCCUGGGUGUCUCAGGACCCUCCCCUUGCAGCAAGAAGCCCCAGUCCUUCGCCAUUCCCAGACGGGGCGGGUGCGUUGCACAACGCAGCCCAGCCAGGGUGGCCAGCAGAGCCCACGUGCUGCCCUCUGUGCUUGCCGAGGAACCUGAAGCAACACCUCCUGGUGGAAUAGGUUUUUAAAGGCCCCAGGGGGACUGCAGCAGCUGGGACCCCCCCACACACACCAAAACAAAGCGCGAGUUCACGAGUUCCCCAGUCUGUAUUUCUUGUUUCACCACGCCUUCGCUUCCCCCACAGUGCCUCCAGGGUGAAACUACUCAGCUGGCUGAAUGGGUUCGGC